CACACACACACACAUCCCUAGCUUAGGGUCCCUCUAUUUGGCAUGGACUCAUUUUCUGCCAGGAAUGCAUAUCUUCCUUGCAGGCUGAGGCACUAUAUGGACUGUACUAAAAACACUCAACCCACUGAUUCUGGUGAAAUUAUUUUGGAGUGACAGGGAUAGGCAGGGGCUUUCCUGGGCUCAGGACUCUAGCUGGGGAGUGGCAAAAGCCACAGUGCAACUCAACUCAGGAGAAAAUAAAUGCCUGGAAAUUUGAGCCAGCUGUUUUUUUCUUACUCACCAAAGUGCAUUGAGUCAACCCUUAAUCUUUUGUCAAUAUUUGCGGACUGAAAACACGACAAACCACCCCCUGUGCCGCUCAGAGUGUAGACACUGACUGAUGGGACCAGGUACAAAAUCCCCUGGGACAAAACAGAACUUUCAUAACUGGCUGUAGAGUUAUUGUUUUUGCCUUUUGGAAGCUUCCACCUUGUGACGGGAAGAGCACUGUCAGCCCAACACAGAAACUCUGCCGCCUGGAGUCACGUGGAUCCAGAUGCGAAGGGACUCCAACGUCAUGCUAAGGAGUUUGGGCUAAGAAUUUGUACAGCCAUAUUACAGAUUUGGAAAAUGAUGUGAAGAGAAGCUAAGGGAUUUGCCACUGCCACUCAGCUGCCAAGGAUCAGAGGCAGGAUUCUAACAUUACUUCUACUUCUCAACGUCCAUCCUCCAACCAUUGUCCAGUGAUUCAGGCAGAAUUCCCUCCUGCUCAGGAGGUAGCCAUCCUGUGACCCUGGAAGAAACCAGCCCAAGGAAGGUGCUAACCUACAGAAGAAGGACAUGGCCAGGGUAAUCACAUAGACCCGGAGUUGAAGCCCUGACUGCACCACACCCGAAGCCUCCCCACCUUUCAACCUCUCGGUGAUGGUGAACCAAUAAACUCUUUUUAUUGUUCAAGCCAGUGUGAGUUAGGUUCGCUAUAAUUUGCUGCAGAAAGUCUCCUGAGUGAUUCAGAUGCCUGUUGGUGCUCCUGGAAUUGCAUCCAGAUGCCCUACCUUAGUAUUAAAGUCUCACUCAACUCUAAGAUCAAUGAGUGGGGAGGGUGAGGGCUAGAUUUUCAUUGACCCUGGUGUUGCCAGCCCCUGCUGGACAUCAAUCUGGCACAAAGCAGACAAUGUUAAUUUUUUUUUCCUUGAAGGAGUAAACCCAGGUCUCUCUCCAGUGUCUUAUCAGCCUCCCAAAGGCGGGGAAUCCCACUGGGGUCCCUGAUCACCUUCCAGAGCCACCUCUCUGCAAUCAGCUGCAUUUUGCUAGAAUCGGCCUUGCUGUCCACCUUCCCCAUCAGCGUCCUCAUGGAGACCACCAUGAGGGAGGGGCCAGCGGGUCUGAACUUGAGGCUAUGUCUAGCAGUGUGUCUGAGCUCCAGGUACCCAGGAGGGGGCCAUGGCCGAGUGAUGCCCAGGGCACAGGAUGGUGCAAGCAAGAUGUAAACAAGAUGCAAACAAGAUGGUGCAAGGAGAUGCAAACAAGAUGUUUGCAAGGAGAUGUUUGCAACAAGAUGUUUGCAAAGAGAUGUUUGCAACAAGAUGUUUGCAAGGAGAUGCAAACGAGAUGGUGCAAGGAGAGCCUCCAAAACAGCCUGGAAUUCACACAAGUAAAUGGGAGGGGCCUCAGAGCCACUGUGAUUUGGGCAGCAAUAAGUAUGACCAGCAGGGUGACCAGUGGACCAUGAGAAACAUCCACAUGUGGGUCCAAAGAACAUUGCAUUCCUUUGUUUAUCUAACCCACAUCCUCCUUCGUGUCUUAGGGCCUUUGCACUGCCCUUUCCUUGGACUGAUUACCCAGUUACUCUACCUCAUGACCAACCUCUGUCUUAAUUCUCUGCAGAGUGCUUAUCAAUGGCUGAUUGCAUUUGUUUGCUUUUGUUUCUCUGUCCAUGACAGCAAGGACCUUGAUUGUCUUAUUUAUCACUACUUCUCUCAUAUCAAAAAUCCCUCCAUAGUCCUGGCUCAGCAGCUCUUGCCUAUAAUCCCAGCACUUUGGGAGGCUGGGAAAGGAGGAUUGCUUGAGGCUAGGAGUU
rnacentral:lncRNA from 1 species